UUGUGUAAAAAACAUAAUAUUUUAUUUAUCAUACUGGAAUGUCUAAAACUCUAUACGAUCACAAUGGUUCUUACAUUCCAUCUACAGCACAGAAAAACAGACAAAUACACGUUGAUGAUAAAACAUGCCCUAGGAAGAUUGUCCCUCUCAUUGGUGAGGUAAAUCCUGGCCUAGUAAGAUUGUCCCUCUCAAUGGCGAGGUAAAACCUGAUCAAGAAAGAUUGUCCCUCUCAAUGGUGAGGUAAAACCUGGCCUAGGAAGAUUGUCCCUCUCAUUGGUGAGGUAAAUCUGGCCUAGGAAGAUUGUCCCUCUCAUUGGUGAGGUAAAUCCUGGCCUAGUAAGAUUGCCUCUCUCAUUGGUGAGGUAAAUCCUGGCCUAGUAAGAUUGUCCCUCUCAAUGGCGAGGUAAAUCUUGACCUAGGAAGAUUGUCCCUCUCAAUGGUGAGGUAAAACCUGGCCUAGGAAGAUUGUCCCUCUCAAUGGCGAGGUAAAUCCUGGCCUAGGAAGAUUGUCCCUCUCAUUAGUGAGGUAAAACCUGAUCAAGAAAGAUUGCCUCUCAUUGGUGAGGUAAAUCUUGACCUAGGAAGAUUGCCUCUCUCAUUGGCGAGGUAAAUCUUGACCUAAGAAGAUUGUCCCUCUCAUUGGUGAGGUAAAUCCUGGCCUUGGAAGAUUGCCUCUCUCAAUGGUGAGGUAAAUCUUGACCUAGGAAGAUUGCCUCUCUCAAUGGUGAGGUAAAUCUGGCCUAGGAAGAUUGUUCCUCUCAUUGGUGAGGUAAAACUUGGCCUAGGAAGAUUGCCUCUCUCAUUGGUGAGGUAAACUUGGCCUAGGAAGAUUGUCCCUCUCAUUGGGUCAGUAGCAAGGUUAAGCUAGGCCCACGAAGAUUGUUACCUCUCCAUGGUGAAAUGAACUCCAUUGAAGGCAGGAUUAGCAAUUCUUCAAUGAUUAUGAAGUUAGUAUUUCACUCCACAAUGAGACAAACCUCUCCAGUGCAGUUGGUAAAAUCCUAAUCAGGUAGGCUCAGUGUUUUUUCACAAGAUAGUGAGAUAAUCACUUGGCCGAGUUGGUGUUUCUAACUAACACCAAAAUCAACUUGGCCCAUUAAGAUUGGAAAUUUCAACCAUACAGCCCUAUUAGUUUCCCACCAGAUGGCCAAGGUCUGCCAUAUAAAUAGCCAACAAUGUGCCAUCUAACAUGGCCUUCAGUUAUCACACAUUUGUUUACAAAUAAUUUGGUUUUAAAAGAGGGUGAAUAUCAACAUUGAGAUAGAAAAAAAAUUGUUAUAAUUUUCAACACUUUAAAAUAAUAAAAAAACUUAUCUAUAUUUUUCAACAUUGGGUAUGUUCAGUGUUUAAAAGCAAAACUUGCUGUUAAAAAUAACUGCACUUUGGUGCGUGACCUGCAAGCAUUUCUCUCUUCCUUGAUAACAAUAGGAUCAAUCAGAAUAACUGUUAUAGUAAGAAUACAAUCUAAACAUGUUAUAUCACAUUAAUAUUUGUGGAUAUGCAUUCUGUAACAACCUGGUAAAAGUGAGUAUACAGAACCAGGACUAUUUCAAUCCUUGUUCGUUAAAGGAUGAGAAGAAUCAGCUGUACAUGUAAGUUGUACUGUAACUUUAGUAUGUUAAAAGACAUAUCAUGAAAUGAAAUUUCUGUGAUAACAUUGAUAUACUUUAUUUUCGUACUUUUUUUGUGCAAUGCUGGGAUGUAUAAUAGCAUAUCAUUCUCUUAUUCACCAAAAAAUGUACUAGCGCAACUAUUAUUACCAGGUAUCCUAGCUCAACUGUUUGUAAAAAUUGAUUCGCAAAACUCCUUCAAGUUAUUAUAGAAUGAUGUGAAAUACAUAUCAAAUACUUGCAAAGUAAAACAUUUACUAUAUAAUUUUAUAAAUUUAUCGACGUAUCCCUCAGGUUAGAAGUAAAACAUUUAACAUAUAAUUUUAUAAAUUUAUCGACGUGUCCCUCAGGUAAGAAGUAAAACAUUUACCAUAUAAUUUUAUAAAUUUAUCGACGUGUCCCUCAGGUUAGGAGUUAAACCAUAACUUCUCAAAAACAUUCCGAUAUAUUUAAAUGAAAUGUGAUCAACAAUGACAGAAUGUGUCAAUCGAUUAAUAGGAGUCUUCCUUUGUUAAAUAGAAAUCUGUAUCUCUCUUAUGUAAGGCAAUCUUACUCUUGUUCUAAACAAAUACAUGCAUUAUUAUUGAUACAUUUUUUUUGUGCAAGUCUGUCAAGCACGCAGGAAGUCCAUUUAAUAUAUAACAUAUGGCUAAAAAUACUCAGGAUGUUUAUAUUAGCUCACAAUAUGACAGACAUUAUUAUAGAAACUCUGGUGGUAUCGUUGGAUUUUUACUGUUAAACACUAAGGUUUCCUUAUUAUUAUUUUCAGUGGCUGUACAAAUAUAGGAGUUACUUCCCUUGGAUCAUUUCUCUGGUUUAGGAGGAGGGCUAAUAUGGGCACAACCCAUGUUCAGUUCUCUUGGUUUAAUCACUAACAUUGUGCGAAACGAAAUGAAAUCCCAUUGUAUGUAUGAGAUAUGUGUUAAAUCAGAGCGGACACAUUGUAUCUGCAAUUUGUGUUAGAAAAAGUUCUCUCCCUCAGGGUAAAAGACAUUUCACAUUACAUCAGAGAUUCACAUAGUUGUCUCCCUUGGAGAAACCUACAACACAUUAUGCCCAUGAAUUGGUUAUGAAUUUUUGUGUUAAGCUCUGUUGGAGAGGCGAUACAUUGAUGGUUGUUAGAUGAAAGAUGUACCCUGUAUCCUAAACAAACAUACCUGUAGUUUCUCUUCAUCGUUAUAUUUCGUAUUGGUCAAACUCUUUGCUACAGUUUAUAUAACAAAUAUACUAUUAAUAUGGGCCAAGACUACAAACUGUCAUGUUUUGAGUUCACACCAGAAAAACUACAGAUAGAGCAUCAACAAUUGCAAGUGAAAUGUUACUUGAUAUAGAUAGACAUACCAUGAUAUGAUUAGAUACAUUUUUUUUAAGUAUUGCAAUUUGUUUGGAACACGGUUAUUGCACUGUUAUGUGAUGGAUUGACUUCACUAAAACCUACUAUAUGAAUGGCAUACUAAAGGAAACAUGGAUGCAAUGGUCAAACUCCAAACUGUCACUAUUGACCCCAUCCUUAAUCAUGGUAGAAUCAUUUUUAAGAAACUCUAUAUAUAUCAGAGGAAAGAGGUAGAACAAUUUGUAGUGUCAAAAUUUAAAGAGCAUUAAUUAUAUUAAAACAAUAGAUGACAGGCUGACUCAUUGAUCAAAGAAGAGAAGCUCAGCAAUGAUGCUUACAAGUUUAUAAAGAUGUGGUAUCUAUAACUAGGUAGCUUGGUAUCAAUACUGUAGUAAACUUGGCUCACUAACUCGGAAUCCGAGGCCCUGCUGUAAGAUUGGGAAUUAUCUUCACUUAUAGGUAAAUAUCUAAAUAAAUAAUUAUUAAAAUACUAAAUAUAUUACUUAUAAAAAAUCAUUUCCAAACGAACAACAUAUUAAAUAAGAGGCCCAUAGGGCCUGCAUCACUCACCUGAGUAUUUCAGUGAUUAUGGCAAAGCACUUUCAAGUUAUAUUACCAAUACUUUUCCUAUUUUGUGAUCUACCUCAAAUGCCCAUGUAUUGCCAUAAACAUUUUCCUACAACUUAUAUUUGCCUUUCUGAUUCCAAGGAAAGACUCCAGAUUCAAAGCAAAUUAAGCUGAAAAGCACCAACAUUAAUAAUCAUACUACCUUUAUUGGGCCUGCCUCUCCAGCCACAAGGGUGAAUGGACUUUUAAAAGUAAAUCCAUAGUAAGUUCAGAUUCUGCAGAUCAAAUUUAAUCAAAGUAACUUUAUCCAUACAGAAGUAGAAACAUUUCAAAGAAAUGCCUCUAUUCUUUUGGGCCUGACCCUCCACCUACAUUUAUAAACAGUGUGUCUCCUUCACCCAAUAAUACUCCUUACAAAAGAAUCCAUCAGGCCGUUCAGAAGAAGGAGGGGGUGCAUCUUUAUGAAAAUUGGUUCCCAAUCACCCAAGGAAUUAGCUACAGACCAAAUUUAGGCAAAAUCCACAUGGUUAAUCAUGACGUUACGUUUUUUUUUU